GCUGACGAGUGAAACGAGGCUGCGAUCUCUUGAUCUUGGUGUUCAUUGCGUCCGAAAAGAUCGCAGCCUCGUUUCACUCGUCAGC
rnacentral:misc_RNA from 1 species